GAUGAACGCUGGCGGCGUGCCUAAUACAUGCAAGUCGAACGCUUCACUUCGGUGAAGAGUGGCGAACGGGUGAGUAAUACAUAAGUAACCUGGCAUCUACAGGGGGAUAACUGAUGGAAACGUCAGCUAAGACCGCAUAGGUGUAGAGAUCGCAUGAACUCUAUAUGAAAAGUGCUACGGGACUGGUAGAUGAUGGACUUAUGGCGCAUUAGCUUGUUGGUAGGGUAACGGCCUACCAAGGCGACGAUGCGUAGCCGACCUGAGAGGGUGACCGGCCACACUGGGACUGAGACACGGCCCAGACUCCUACGGGAGGCAGCAGUAGGGAAUUUUCGGCAAUGGGGGAAACCCUGACCGAGCAACGCCGCGUGAAGGAAGAAGUAAUUCGUUAUGUAAACUUCUGUCAUAGAGGAAGAACGGUGGAUAUAGGGAAUGAUAUCCAAGUGACGGUACUCUAUAAGAAAGCCACGGCUA
rnacentral:rRNA from 1 species